rnacentral:rRNA from 1 species
GAUGAACGCUAGCGGCAGGCCUAACACAUGCAAGUCGAGGGGGUAGAGUUCUUCGGGACUUGAGACCGGCGCACGGGUGCGUAACGCGUAUGCAAUCUACCUUAUACAGGGGAAUAGCCCCAGAGAAAUUUGGAUUAAUGCCCCCAUAGUGUUAUCGAAUCGCAUGGUUUGAUAACUAAAGUUCCAACGGUAUAAGAUGAGCAUGCGUCCCAUUAGUUAGUUGGUAAGGUAACGGCUUACCAAGACAAUGAUGGGUAGGGGUCCUGAGAGGGAGAUCCCCCACACUGGUACUGAGACACGGACCAGACUCCUACGGGAGGCAGCAGUGAGGAAUAUUGGUCAAUGGGCGCAAGCCUGAACCAGCCAUGCCGCGUGCAGGAAGACGGUCCUAGUGGAUUGUAAACUGAC